CUAGCAGCCAUCUAUGGCUUAACUGUAUAAGCUCUCAGGAUGCUCUCAUACUUACUCUGUCCCUUCUUCACAGAGAAGCUUUGCAGCUACAUUGACUGAGACCAAGAAACUAAGAAGCCAGAAGAUAACCAAGACUCUUUAGAAGAGGGAAGGAGCUUUGCUAAACCAUUUACAAACUGAAGACAGCUUGUGGAGCCCCCAGUGAUGUGUUCAGGAACCCUGCAGAAAAGCAUUAAGUAGACAAGUCAGCUGUACAGCAGG